CCUGGUGGCUUUGGCGGAGGGGUCACGCCUGUUCCCAUUCCGAACACAGUAGCUAAGCCCUCCAGCGCCGAUGGUACUGGCAACGGGAGAGUAGGUCGCCGCCAGGG
rnacentral:rRNA from 1 species